rnacentral:rRNA from 1 species
AGCCAUGCGAGUCUUGUAGUAAUACAAGGCAGACGGCUCAGUAACACGUAGUCAACCUACCCUAUGGACAAGAAUAAUCUCGGGAAACUGGGCAUAAUUCUUGAUAGAUCAUAAUGCCUGGAAUGGUUUAUGGUUAAAAUGAUUCGUCGCCAUAGGAUGGGACCGCGGCCUAUCAGCUUGUUGGUGAGGUAAUGGCCCACCAAGGCGAUUACAGGUACGGGCUCUGAGAGGAGAAGCCCGGAGAUGGGUACUGAGACACGGACCCAGGCCCUAUGGGGCGCAGCAGGCGAGAAAACUUUGCAAUGUGCGAAAGCACGACAAGGUUAAUCCGAGUGAUUUCUGCUAAAGAAAUCUUUUGCCAGUCGUAAAACCGCUGGUGAAUAAGGGGUGGGCAAGUUCUGGUGUCAGCCGCCGCGGUAAAACCAGCACCUCAAGUGGUCAGGAUGAUUAUUGGGCCUAAAGCAUCCGUAGCCGGCUUUGUAAGUUUUCGGUUAAAUCCAUGUGCUCAACGCAUGGGCUGCCGAAAAUACUGCAUAGCUAGGGAGUGGAAGAGGUAGACGGUACUCAGUAGGUAGGGGUAAAAUCCUUUGAUCUAUUGAUGACCACCUGUGGCGAAGGCGGUCUACCAGAACACGUUCGACGGUGAGGGAUGAAAGCUGGGGGAGCAAACCGGAUUAGAUACCCGGGUAGUCCCAGCUGUAAACGAUGCAGACUCGAUGAUGCAUUGGCAUAAUAGCCAUUGCAGUGUCGCAGGGAAGCCGUUAAGUCUGCCGCCUGGGAAGUACGUACGCAAGUAUGAAACUUAAAGGAAUUGGCGGGGGAGCACCACAAGGGGUGAAGCCUGCGGUUCAAU